AGCCUACUUAAUGUGCCAAGAUCUGCGUGGACUAAGUCAAGCAGCCCGUCUGAUGAAAUCGACCCGUUUCCGACACUCUCUUCUGAACAGUGACAUCAGGUGGUGUCUCUGAGGUGAAGGCUGGUCUAAGUGCUGCUCCUACCUGGCAAGAAAUUACAGGCUCAUUCAAGCAUCAAAAACAUAUCUUCCUGUUUUUAGCUAAGUGCAUCCAAGUUUUCCUUUGGGGAAAUUUCUCUCUCCACAACUCUCAGCCCAUGUUAUUGCUAUGGAGUUGUGAGUACUGUCUGGCUCCAGGAACCCACACUGGGAUAAUGAAAGCUCUCCUGAAGACAUUUGCUAGGAGUACUAGGAAAGAAGCGCUCUCUUUAAAAGACUCUGGAUGCUAAGAGAGCCAUCUCUUACCACUAAGAGAGCCAUCCUGAUACCAUCUUGAUACCACUUGGAAAGGGCAAACUUGAGAAUAAAGCCAGUGCAGAAGAAAGCAGAGCCAACUAAUAAGGUUCCUGAAAACAAUUUUCCUUUUCUGCUUAAAUGUGAUGGAGCCUGCUAACCAACUGGUGAACUGCUCUGGAUUCCCUAACUGCCAGCCAUCAGAAGCUGCCUUUGAAUCAUGAGAGGCUGCUCAAUGCACCAGUCAUAAAAACAUCAGUUAAAAAGCUUACAGGGCUUCCCUGGUGGCGCAGUGGUUGAGAAUCUGCCUGCUAAUGCUGGGGACAUGGGUUCAAGCGCUGGUCUGGGAGGAUCCCACAUGCCGCGGAGCAGCUAGGCCCAUGAGCCACAACUACUGAGCCUGCGCUCCACAACAAGAGAGGCCGCGAUAGUGAGAGGCACGCGCACCGCGAUGAAGAGUGGCCCCCGCUUGCCGCAAGUAGAGAAAGCCCUCGCACAGAAACGAAGACCCAACACAGCCAAAAAUAAAUAAAUUAAUUAAUUUUUUUAAAAAAAGAAAAAAAAAGCUUACAGAACUAGUAAUAGAAACCUGAAUUCUUUUCCAACUCUAGGGGGAAAAAAAGGAAGUUAUAUCUAGACUAGGAGUAAUAAUUUGAAGAUGAAACCGGCAUGUAGCCUAAAUGGAAUGUUUAUUAAUGAUUUGGUGUUAUCUUAGCUUAUCUGGAUAUUUUAUAAAGAAUAUCAUCAUCAAAGCCCUUUGGACUUCCCUGGUGGCGCAGUGGUUAAGAAUCCGCCUGCCAAUGCAGGGGACACGGGUUCGAGCCCUGGUCCAGGAAGAUCCCAUAUGCCACGGAGCAACUAAGCCUGUACGCCACAACUACUGAGCCUGUGCUCUAGAGCCCACGUGCCACAACUACUGAAACCCGUGUGCUCUAGGGCCAGCGUGCUGUAACUACUGAAGCCCGCGUGCCUAGAGCCAGUGCUCCGCAACAAGAGAAGCCACUGCAAUGAGAAGCCUGUGCACUGCAACAAAGAAUAGCCCCCGCUCGCAACAACUAGAGAAAGCCCGCACACAGCAAUGAAGACCCAACACAGCCAAAAAUAAAUAAAAUUUAAAAAAAAAAAGAACAAUACCUAUCCCACAGGGUUAUUGUUAGUAAAUGAGUGUUAAUUUUUUUAAAAAGCCCUUUAUUCCCCCAAAAUUACCAAAAAGGUUUUAAUUAUGAAAAUUAACCUUUAGUGUUAUAAAAGACCUGUUUUAUGUAUUAUUUUGCUUUUACAUGAAGAUUUCCUCUUUAAACAUAUGAUUAUACUGGUGAUAUAUUAGCAGAGAUACAUACUCACUUACGUAUUAAAAGGUGACAUGCCAAUUAGUUUCACAGACUUUUAAUAAUAAUAAAAUCCUCUAGUA